rnacentral:rRNA from 1 species
UACAGAGGGGGCAAGCGUUAUUCGGAAUUAUUGGGCGUAAAGGGUUCGUAGGCGGUGUGGCAAGUCGGGAGUGAAAUCUCUGGGCUCAACUCAGGGGCUGACUUCCGAAACUGCCGUGCUAGAGUGUGGGAGAGGCGCGUGGAAUUGCAGGUGUAGCGGUGAAAUGCGUAGAUAUCUGGAGGAACACCGGUGGCGAAGGCGGCAUCCUGGACCGAGAUUGACGCUGAUGCGCGAAAGCCAGGGGAGCAAACGGG